AUAGAAAUAGGGGAUCAAUCAGUUCGUGGCGUCGAUUGCUUAAUCGUAACAAGAAUUUACGACUCUCGUUGACGCGCUAUCUCACGAUCGCGUCUCUCCGUGAACGGUUGAAACAGUGGCAAACGUAGAAGAGAAUAAUGCGAUUGAAAAGGAAAGAGAAACAGGGACUGAGAGUCGAAGUGUUCGGCGACGUAUAAAAUAUGAAGCUGUAUAAUAAGCUGAGACCUUUUUCAGCUGAAAAAUUAAAUUUUCUUAUUUUUAAUAUCCAAUGAAUAGAACUUUUACCAACUGUUUGUUUGAUGUUUCCGAUUAAAAUGACAAAAAGCACGAUACAACUCGUAGCAUAUUUGCUCAUGCUAAAUGCUAUUAAAUGCACAUUGAUCUCCAUUCUCCUUUCAUUUCUGGAUUCAUGCACGACUCACGUUCAGAACAUAACAAUGAUAUGCUAUAUAUGUAUAUACUUUAAACAAAAGCAAAAGGAGAAAUAAGCAACUAACUGGAGCGAAAAGAUAGGAAAAACGAAACAUCUUCGAAAAAGCUGAAUUUUAUGUUGAAUUUGUAUGUCCGACAAGGACUGAGAAAAUGUUUCACUGGUCAACGUAUUACCAAUUUUCUUUAUUACUUUUAUUCACAAAGAACUUAAAUUACAAGAACAAUAUGAAAAUGACUUAAAUACCACAGUAAAAAUUAAAUAUUAUUAAGGAUCCAACAUUGGUUCUUAUUUUCAAACAUUUGCUGAUUAUAAUUUUGGUCGUUUUUAAAUAAACAAGUACGAAGAUUGUUUAAUUCGUACUAUCGCGGGGAGACGCGGUCGUUAGAAUACGCGUCAACGGGAGUCGUAAAUUCCCGUUACGAUUAGAAUAAUCGACACCACGAAUAGUUCGAUCCCCGUAUUUCGGUUAGGAUAAUCGGGGUGGUUAAUGCGGUAUAACACUGGGAGUCAGAGUUAUAAUAAUGUAUAUUUCCAACACUUUAUACAAUCACACAAAGUAGUAACGCCGUUGAUUAAGAUACAGAUAACGAGAGAAGGGUUAGUCUUGGAUGAGAGAAGGAGAGCUUUAGGCGCUCUAGGCCCUUGAGAGUUAUAGGAACUGUCGGAGUUCUGGAUAAGUGAGAGCCUUAGAAGACUCUAGGCCGUGUAGGCACCUUGAUGAAUGAU
rnacentral:misc_RNA from 1 species